CAAAGUGCCAUUUGGAUCAUGGUUUGAGCACACCUGUGCCUGGCUGUCCAUGAGAGAAACAGACAACUUCUUGCUACUGAGCUACGAAGACAUGAAAAAGGACACAAAGAGCACCAUAAAGAAGAUUUGUGACUUCCUAGGAAAAAAAUUAGAGCCAGAUGAGCUG